GCGCUGGUGGUUCAGUGGUAGAAAUCUCGCCUGCCACGCGGGAGACCGGGGUUCGAUUCCUCGCUAGCGCA
rnacentral:tRNA from 1 species